UAUUAAUAAAAUAAACAAAUGAUUGUUGUUAUGAUUAGGCUAUUGUUUUCUUACACCUCCGCAUCAUCGUCAUCUCUGAAUAACAACAUGGUUGAUAGCCUAUCUUUUACAUGUCAUAUGCGCUCUCAGUAGGCUACAGAGAGCCAGAGCACCAUGCAGUGCUUCGGGAAGUAUCAGGUUCCGUAUUUUGCGAGUCUCCGGUCUCCAAUGGAAGCUACAGAAUAACAAAGACAUGUUUGAGAGUCGAGCAGUGAGCAGCAGCGGCUACAGCAGUAGGCUUGGCUGAUCGGUGACGUCAAGGAACAAUGUGGUUUCCACUAGUUACCACAUCCACAAAGUCAAAUUAGCUAGGCCGGCCUAGAUCGUAAAAAUUCAUCAAAACUAAAAUUAUAUUUUUGGUCUUCAUUUCAGGUUAUGGUUAGCAGCUGGUUAAGGUUAUGGUUAGGUUUAAAAUCACAUUCUAAGCAGAUAAAACAUAGAAAUGGGCGGGGUUUAUUACUUUGUGGCUGUGGUAACUAGUGACGACCGAACAACGUCUCCCCCGACACACACACGCGCACACACGAAUGAAAGCACAUAUGCGCGCGAACACACACACAGAGAGAGAGAGAGAGAGAGAGAGAGAGAGAGAGAGAGCAGGCAGACUCUUCUCAGCUAGUGAAGCACAGCUGAACUGCCCGGAGGGAGGGCCGAGCAGUGCCGAAGCUGGAACAGUGCAUCAGAUAGAAUCACUCACUUCUCAUGCUGUGCUUGUUUCUCUUCCUCCCACCUUCCCUCCCUCCCUUUCUCCCUGCAUGUCUCUGCCCCUCUUUUCUUCUCUCUCUUUCUCCACAAGUCAUGCAGUGUUGCAGCAUUGGACUUCCAGCAGGAAUCUGGUCCAUGUGAUCUGGGAACAUUGGGACAUCCCUACACCAUUGAAGCUGACAUUUUAAAUUGUUACGGUCACCAGGCUGCUCGUUAUGGCGCACACCUGUCACCAUCAUUACGCACACCUGCGCAUCAUCAGACACUCACCUGGACUCCAUCAACUUCCUGAUUACCUGUCCUAUAUAUGUCACUCCCUUUGGUUCCUUCCCCAGAUGUUAUUGUUUCUGUUCCAGUGUCAUGUCUGUGGGUUGUUCGUGUUUCUUGUUUUGUAUUAUGUUGAGUUUAUUUAUUAAAACACUCACUCCCUGAACUUGCUUCCCAAAUUAUUGCUUCCCAAAUUA